GUUCAGGUAGCUUAAUUUUAAAGCGUAACAUUGAAAAUGUUAUUAUACAUUUUUUUUGUCUUGAAUA
rnacentral:tRNA from 1 species